AAUCGUUGUAUCAGGAACCCUCAUGUAUGCCCCUCUACUCCCAGAUUCGAGGAUCUCACUCUCCACUGAUAAUCUGCUCUUAUCACCACCCACAGACGAUAAGAGAUUACGAUCUCAGCAGAUCAAUACCGAGAGGUAGAAGUGGAGCUCGAUUGAGUUAGAUCAUUAGUUCUCGGUUGACUGUCAAGCAGGCAGAACGUACGGAAGUUCGUGAAGUGUACUGUAGAAGUUAUUUAGCCUGACCGGUGUGGAACAGAUCUAGUGACAACAAGUUAAAGUCACGGUGUGCGAGGUGCAAAUCUUGUAGAUUUUGUUUGCCUAGAGCAAGUCGCAGAUGGCCUUCACUUUCUGCACGCUGCUCGGUAGAGCCAAAAUGGAGUAGAGGAGGAUAAUACUAUGAGAUCGGCCUUUCUAUCAUGACCAACUUGUGCGCCAGGCCGGGAAGGUGUCCUAGCACGAUCAUGGAUCGGUGUGCUAGCGUUGGAGUAGCUGGCACGUCGCCGGU